rnacentral:rRNA from 1 species
AUGGCGGAUGGCGGCGACGGCGGCGCCGGCUAUCUGAACAACCACAUCUCCUCCUCCACAAGAACUGCGGCGGCGGAUGGCGGCGGGGAAGACGUCGUGGGGGGUAGCCCUCCGCCGUUCAAAAUCCGCAAGCUGGGCGCUCCGGGUACGAGUUCAGUUGAGGCUUUGGAUCAGUGUGAGGCCAUGGCUGCCAGGGACGGCAAGAUCGGCGAGCGGAUGAAUUCGGAUGAGGUACACGGUGAGCAUGAGGACAAAACCGCCAUUCAGUCGAUGCCUGCCAGAGGCGAGCAUGUGGACACAGAGAUGACCCAAUUCAAGUGCGGCGAGGUUGCGGAUGAUGAGCUUCACAAGGACAAGAUCAAGAACAAGACGAGCCCGGAGGAGAUGGACCGAGGCAAAACAACUAGCUCCAUCUCCGAGCUGGAGAUCGAGCGGCUCUGUGUGCAGAUGGACGAGAUGGCGUCUUUAAUGAGAUACAGGAUCAAACCAUCAGCCCCACUCUGCAGCAGCAGCAGCAGCCUUGAGACUGAAGAUCAGCCCGUGAUCGACGGCAUCAGAAAAGAGUUGUCUGAUCUGCAGGGCAGCAUGUCCAAGCUCAAAUCGCAACUGAAACCUUUCUGGCACACCUACCCGUAUGAGGAGGAUUAUGUGGCGCCGGAGGAGGAGAAGAAUCCCAAGGAGAAGGCAAGGAAGCAGAUGGAGGAUGAUCAGGAGGUUUAUGAUUCCUACCUUCAAGACCUUGAAUCUAAAGUUGGACACUUUGGAUACGCAACCCUAGUGAGCCCCAUGCACUUUACACACUACACACCCAGACAGGUCCAAUCCGAUUAUACUACUCGUGGGAUCACCUUGCAGAUCUUCUCCUUCAAGAUUGCCAACAUCAGUUUGGACCUGGAAUGGCCACUCCUGCAUUGGCCACUCAAAGUGUACGGCGUCGUCGCCGCACGAGACAGUGUGGAUCGCAAGCGCAACGUUCUCUUCCACCGGCUAAGGGACAACUUCCAAGAGAUCACCGAAAAAGACCCCUUUCUGUGCUUGACUGGCCCAUCUCGUGCAAUCUCAGCAGAAUCCCCUCUUGAGUUUGAAGUCCAACUAAAACUCAAGGGCGGCGAAGCAAAGUCUGAAGACAGCGUGUUGAUCAAUAGAAAAGGCCAUUACAAUGGUUAUGAUACCCAUAAUGGUUUAUAUACUGUCACCUUUGACAACUGUCUUUGCACAGCCGAGUUAAGCCUGCAGAAACUGUAUCGUGGAGCAGUACAAGCCACUUUCUUGCGUGUCGGCAUUGUUAAAGGCAGUCAAAGCCCUUUCAGUUAUGGAGGCAGAGUUGCUUGCUCCUCACCACCUCAGAAAGAUGGUAGAGGCCCUGCCACUCCCACCCAAGUUGUAUUGCUUGAUUCUCGUUAUUGUGCUGGCGGGAAGAUGCCAAUAGGCGAAGAAGAUGGUUACCUUGAUCUGUCAAGGCAUGUUGUUUCUGUUGAAUUACGGACAGUGAGUGUAGAUUCUGAAGAAUUGGAAGAAACCCUGAAAGUUGUCAUAGAAGCCUACUCUCCCGGUGGUUAUGUGCAAGCUCAUGUCAUGGUCAGGCCUCAAUAUUGCGGCAUAAGUAAGCAUAAAUGUGACCUCAACGGCUCUAAGGUGAAGAUUACCAUUGCUUGGUCACCUAUUGUUAGCAGUGCUCUCACCAGAAAGGUUAUUCUGUGA